UACGUAGGGUGCAAGCGUUGUCUGGAAUUAUUGGGCGUAAAGAGCUCGUAGGCGGUCUGUUGCGUCGGCUGUGAAAACCCGGGGCUCAACCCCGGGCCUGCAGCCGAUACGGGCAGACUAGAGUUCGGCAGGGGAGACUGGAAUUCCUGGUGUAGCGGUGAAAUGCGCAGAUAUCAGGAGGAACACCGAUGGCGAAGGCAGGUCUCUGGGCCAUAACUGACGCUGAGAAGCGAAAGCAUGGGGAGCGAACAGG
rnacentral:rRNA from 1 species